ACUAUUAAAUGCUUUAACCGCUAAAUAAGUAAACUGACGCGCACGGCUGCAGGCGCUGCAGCCCAAUAUUAACAUUCGUGCAUUUCGAUAGGUUUACGAUACCGCGCUGCGCAUUAUAGGCGUGGCGUUCAAAAGGUUAAAUCGUUUUAAUAAUAUGUAGAGGCCAUUGGCUGAUAUUCAGUAUACAUACUGUGUCACAGGUCACAGUUUAAUGUGUCGUUAACAGAACUGGGGCCCAUUUCUCGAACGUUAUUAGAUUAAUGUCAUUAGUCCACGAAUUGUCAAGUCGUAUGGGUGGCCAUGGCAACACACUAAUAAUAUUAGACUAAUACCGUUCGAGAAAUGGGCCCCUGAUCAUUAUAAUUUCCGUAAUUUCCUUUGUAGUUUCCCAAUACAAGAUGCGAAAAAAAUACGGUCCAACUAUAUUAUAAACGGAAGUCUAUAGCGCCCGCGGCAGCAGCACGAAGGGAAGCCGCUCGAGCACAAACUAGCAAUACUCCGCCACUAGUGUACCUACUGUUGUCGGCUACACCGCAGUAGAAAUAUCACUUACUUGGAAAAGGCUUUAUGCGCGAUGUCCUUUCUGUACUGCUUGCCAGGGAAGUCUAUAGCGCCCGCGGCAGCGGCGGCGGCCGCGGCCGCAGCGCGAAGGGAAGCCGCUCGAGCACAAACGAGCAAAACUCGGCCACCAGCGGUCACUAGAGUGCCGUUAGCGCCGCGGGCUACGCCGCUGUGGAACACCACUACGCCCGGGUUCGACUGCACUUGGGAGAGACCUAAAAGGAAUGGAGAUUUAUAAAAUCGCAUAAUAAAUGCUACUGUAAAGUAGGUAAAUGACAAAUUCGUAUAUUCGUACCAAUAUUUUAUAAAAGUAUGUGUAGGCUUUUAUUUCUAUUUUAUGAGAAAUUAAAUUUAGGAAUCUUUUGUGACUUAACCUGUAAUACCUGGCUCAGACCUGUUUAAGUGCAAAAAACGUAGAAAUUGAAAUAAACAUUAUAAGAGAAUACGAGUGUAAAUGUCAAUAUUAAAACAUCUUAAAACGAGUGUUAAUUAGAAUAUAAAUUAGAAGCGAGCAUUUGAACAUUACCAGUUUAAUUAGGCAUAUUGAAGGGAUAAGUUCGCCUUUGUACUUAGCUUUUCCUAAUUGUAAGUUCCUUUUAUUAUGUGUUUUUGUACAAUAAAGAGUUUACUACUACUACUUCAACUAUAUUUAGGAAAGUAGACAUAUUAAUAAAAUUCAUGAAAUUGUUGCAGUUCGGUACCGUGAA